AGCGAACGCUGGCGGCAUGCCUAACACAUGCAAGUCGCACGGUCGGGGGGGUGACCUUCGGCAGUGGCGGACGGGUGAGUAACGCGUAGGGAUCUAUCCUUGGAUGGGGGGACAACCGCGGGAAACCGCGGCUAAUACCGCAUGAUGCCUGAGGGCCAAAGCUCGCGAGAGCGUCUGGGGAGGAGCCUGCGUCCGAUUAGCUUGUUGGUGGGGUAACGGCCCACCAAGGCGUCGAUCGGUAGCUGGUCUGAGAGGAUGAUCAGCCACACUGGGGACUGAGACACGGCCCAGACUCCUACGGGAGGCAGCAGUGGGGAAUAUUGGACAAUGGGCGCAAGCCUGAUCCAGCAAUGCCGCGUGGGUGAAGAAGGUC
rnacentral:rRNA from 1 species